GAAGGAUAUAUUGAAUUUCGAGUCAUGUACUAACAGGUGCGAUCAUACCAGCACUAAUGCACUGGAUCCCAUCAGAACUCCGCAGUCAAGCGUGCUUGGGCGAGAGUAGUACUAGGAUGGGUGACCUCCCGGGAAGUCCUCGUGUUGCACCCCUUUUUUAUUUUUUUUCUGCACACCAAAACGUUUCUAAACUUAAAAACUCCAUAACUUUUGAACCGUGUGGAACUACGACGUUCCAUAACACCAUUUCGGAAACGCCCCAAAACCAUAAAUUGGCGCCUGAUUAAGGCGCCGCGAUUUUCCGGACGCCAAAUUCCGCUGGUUUGUACCCUCAAAAGGCAGUUUAAUGUUGAGGACCUAAAAUAAAGUCGAAAUCUGGGUUUUCCGUGUGUUAUCAUUGAAUUCUACUUAAAUCUCACUACAAUUUUAUGCUGGAAUUUAAAUGCAAACUAAACCAUGAAGGUCCCACGCUAAUCCAUAACGUGAUGAGGAAAAC
rnacentral:rRNA from 1 species